rnacentral:rRNA from 1 species
AUUGAACGCUGGCGGCAGGCCUAACACAUGCAAGUCGAGCGAGUGGCGGACGGGUGAGUAAUGUCUGGGAAACUGCCUGAUGCAGGGGGAUCACUACUGGAAACGGUAGCUAAUACCGCAUACCAUCAGAUGUGCCCAGAUGGGAUUAGCUAGUCGGUGGGGUAACGGCCCACCUAGGCGACGAUCCCUAGCGGGACUGAGAGGAUGACCAGCCACACUGGGACUGAGACACGGUCCAGACUCCGACGGGAGGGAGCAGUGGGGAAUAUUGCACAAGGGGCGCAAGCCUGAUGCAGCCAUGCCGCGUGUGUGAAGAGGGCCUUCGGGUUGUAAAGCACUUUCGGCGGAGAGGCGUUACCCGCAGAAGAAGCACCGGCUAACUCCGUGCCAGCCGCCGCGGUAAUAC